rnacentral:tRNA from 1 species
GUUUCUGUAGUGUAGUGGUCAUCACGUUUGCCUAACAUGCAAAAGGUCCCCAUUUCAAAACUGGGCGGAAACA